UAAGUGCAAUUUUAACAGUACACUGCCUGUUACUAAAUGUUUUGUGAAUUUGUAGAUCCAACCUGUAAGUUGUGUUAAUAAUAACCUGACACAUAACAUUGUACAAAUUAGUCUUAUUUUAGUUCCAAAUACCAAACUUCAAAAUUUCAACAGUAUUAUGCCUGUUACCAAAUGUUUGUGUAACAUUGUGUGUAAUACAAAUGU